GAAAGCCUCAUGUGCCACCUCUAUGUUAUCCUGAAUGUCCCUUGAAGGAAUGAAAGCAGCUUGGUCCUGCGAUAUCAACAAAUUCAUCCAAGGUUGUAUUGAUUGAUAGAAACAACGCUUUUACAUUUUGGAAUGAGUACAAUAUUUGUUCUAUUAAGCUCUUUUAACAAAAACCCAUUUUCAAAAAAAUCUUCAAACAGCAUUACAAAUAUACCUUCCUACAACUUUCCAAUUUUGCUAAAAGAUGAUGCCUGCAAAACUAUAUGGACCCGUAGCUUUCAUAACACCCAUAUCAAAAACAGCCUGUUGAAUCUCCACAUCUGAGAUUGGAGUAAGCAAAGCUCGGUUGAUUUCAGGAGUCACAAUGUAAGGCAAAGGGCGGUAACUUUACUUUCCCCUAUUAUAUUUGAACUGCUAUAAUUUUUUUUUUUUUUGAAAAAAGCAGUAAUUUCUUCUCUGAUUUUCCCUUUGGCUUCAAUCCAACUGCCUUCUUUGGAUGGUGGAUAGGUGGGAUUGGUUGCCUUUAGUUAAUAGCUCUUACACCUGAAACAUAAUUUGCAGAUGCAAUAUGGGUACUAGGUAUUGUUUAUAUCUUUGUUUCACCUGAUUUCAAUUCUGUUCUGCCAUAAUUGUUUUCCAGAAGAAACCCACUUGAGGCCAUCCAAAAACAAAACAUAGAGAAGCAUCGGUAAAGCUAAUAUCAUGGAAAUCAUUGAGUAGUACUUGCAGAAUUUAGCAUUCUUGUUUUCAGUCAUCAAAUAGAGGAAAGGAUGAUGCAAAUCACCAAGGCAUGAAAUAUGGAGGCCUGGCCCUUGAAGAUGGUUAGAAUUGGAUUCCCAUCUUUGAAUUCUUGAGGAAAUAAACUUAUUAGGCCAAAUACACCUGAACUAUUUGAAUUUUGCUUAUUAAACUCUGGUGACUUAUUAAAAACCUAAAUUUAAAUAGUCAUUACAAUUAAACAAAAAAUUGCAUAGUUAGCACAUAUCGUGUUUCCAUGCCAUAAGAAGUGAGUUAAGGUAUUUGUUAUCUCGUGGCCUUGUACUUUCCUUCUUCCUUAAAGUGAAGCCCUUUUUUCUUUCUCUUCUCUCUUUAACUCUCUUUCCGCAUGCAUCUUUUUCUUUUUCUUCUCACCUUCUUCUUUUUCCCCUCUCUGAUUAUCAACACUUAGUCUCUUUUUUAUAUAUCGUGUCCAUGCUGAAACCUGAAGGUCAAAAUAAAAUAUAUACUAGUAGAAGCUUUACAUGGUAAACGCAAUAUACUACUCUCUUAGACUCUAUUCUAGGAAACCAAUAUGUUUUAGGCUUUAUAUAUCAUUAGCAUUUACAUUUAUUAGUAACUUGUUCU
rnacentral:misc_RNA from 1 species